UACGUAGGAUGCGAGCGUUGUCCGGAAUUAUUGGGCGUAAAGCGCACGUAGGCGGUUUCUUAAGAUUGGUCUUAAAGGCCGGGGCUCAACCCCGGGAAUGGAUCGAUAACUGGGAGACUGGAGGACGUCAGAGGAAAGUGGAAUUCCGAGUGUAGCGGUGAAAUGCGUAGAUAUUCGGAGGAACACCAGUGGCGAAAGCGACUUUCUGGGACGUUCCUGACGCUGAGGUUCGAAAGCUCGGGGAGCAAACAGG
rnacentral:rRNA from 1 species